UUUUUUUUAAGAUUAAUGGCUUGUGGAUUGUCACCACCAAAGUAAAUCCUGUGCUCCUAUAACAUGGGCAGGAAGCUCCCCAGUUCGUUAGAGGAGGAGACCCGAUUCUGGUUAUUUGGGGAUGUAGGUUUAUAGAGUAAAUAAGAUACUGACUUGUGUAGAAAUUUGAGAAAUGAAAACUCUGAUAUUGUCUUUUUUUUUUUUAUUUCGAAUGAAGUGACCUUAGUUGCCAGCUGAGAGGAGGUUUUGAGUUUAAGGUUCACGAAUCCGUAAAGGCUAACAUUGGUUUUUUGUUUUUUUUUUAAAUAUAUUUUUGUUGAGAUUCUCCCCCAUUCAAAAUCAAUCAUUUACAAACUGUCAAAUUUGAUUUAAAAUAUAAAAACUCUUCUUUAGAAUGCCGGGAAAUGAACAGACUGUGGAGACAAAAAGAAAUGGAUAUUUUGUGUAAUUGGACAGGAAAAGAAAGACCAAUUCCCUGAUAUUUAAAAAAAAAAAAGAUCUCUAGGCUUUGAGUUACACUGCUGAGUGUGGACACUUUGGAACGAUGAGAGAAGAACAGUCUGGGGUUCCAGGGGACCUGCUCCCCGUCUCCUGUGCCCUGCAGCGUCACUUGCCAGUGUGGUUAGUACUGUUCUCUCAGUGUGAACUCAGGAGCUGUUUUCAAUUAUGGGUUCUCAACUCUCCUAAACAGAAAAGCUCUCUGAUACCAUCAACUAUCCUGUCUUACUUAUAGUUUUUCAUGAGGACACAUUUGUACAGCAGCUCACCCUCCCUUUUUUUUUGGUAGGAAGAAGUGGUUCUUCUCACCCCCUACCAUAUAAGCAAUUUCAAGCCACUCAAACUCUGUGAAAUGGUAGAAACUUAGGCAAUGGAAGUCAGGAGCUCUUCUCCUGAGACAACAGACCAGCCCGCUUUUGCUAUAACCACUUCUGAAAUAUCUAUCUGUCUUAACUCUCUUGGCUUUCUGCAUUUAACAAAGAAUGCAAAGGCCUUUGCCUAUGUUUCUCAUACAUUACCCCUCUCCUUCUAUGUUUGGGUAACACAUAGGCUUACUACUGGGGGUAGAGUGACACGGCUCACUUUCAGAGGAGGCUUUUUAUUGGUUCCACACAGAAAUCGAUCAUACACAGCAUGAACACGAACAAAAAACAAAAAGCAAACAAACAAACAAACAAAGAAAAAACCCCAACCUGGAGAAGUUUAAGGAGUUAGUGCUCUGGGGAAGUGCCUUGUCUCAGACUUGCGUUAGGAUUAAUAACAUCUUUCUUCCAUGUACAUUUUGUUAGCCAAAUUAAACAGAUGGGCGCUUAAGAAAUAUAGACCUAGUGUUUCACGUUGGAACAAGGAGUUUUUGCAUGUAACAUUUGUGUGUGUGUGUGUUGUUUUUCGAAUCCACAAGAUAUUGAUAAAUUGCUUAUAUUGGAAUGAGGUUAGGAACUAUAUGGUAAAAUGCUGCACCCGCUCAACACUUUAAGUAUAUAUCCUCACCUUUGAAAGGGUUUCAUGUCUCAACUGGGCGAUGACAUACACACAAACGUGAGUAUAUGGUCCAAGUACGACAGUGACUUCACUCAUUCUUGUCUAAGGGGAAGUGAGAUGAGGUAUCCUAAGGGCUUUUAAAGAAUUUUAGCUUCACGAAAUACUUAAAAAAAAAAACCCACUGGAAUGCGGUUUUUGAUUGGGAGUGUUGGGCAGUUUAUCUUUCCUAAUCAGAGGAAUGUGACUUCUCGAUUGCGAGCUGUUCACAGUUCCCAGUAAAAAGUUGAAGCCAUCUACUUUUUCUUAACCCAAGUGAUAAACCGACAGUACUCACUACUUUCUUAAAUUUUUAAAUUGAAAGCCAAUGCAGACUUUUGCAUAUGUAAACCAGAGAAUUUUGGUUACAAAUUGUUGACCUUUGUGGAUCCUUUGUACAUAGUUUGGAUAUAUCUUGAAGGCAAAGCUAUCAAUGAACCAAUGGAGUCAUUGACUAAAGCACAGCUAUGUGCACUUUUGAAUACACAUGACCUUGAAACUUUAUAAAACCCAUUUUUAUGAAUUUCUGCAGUUGAACAGGAAUCAUGCCCUUUUAUAAUUCACGGAUUGUCACAAAGAUCACAUAGACGGAGGAAUAGGAGUUCUGCUUUGCUCUGGCCAAUUACUGUCAGGCCAGUUUCUAUAGAUUUGAAUCCUCCACCAUCGAUAGCCAUUUAUAGGGUUUUAGACAUUUGGGGGUCAAAUAUUGUCUUUUGAAACUUCCCAGAAAGGUAAAGCUCAAAACUCCAUAUGUAUUUCUAUGGCUUGAGUUACCCUUGGUUGUGUGUGGACGUCAUAAAGAGGUCUGCUCAGUUUUUACUUCAGAUCUAGAGCUGAUGUCUUGUUCCAGGUGUUUCCCUUUUUCUUUUUCCUUUGUCUUCCUUCAUCAGAGUGAUCUCACGUUUUGGUGUAUUUAUUGCUGUUACUCUAUUUCUUGAACAGUCUGAAGAUUUGUAAAAUGUUACAAACAGUUCAUUAAGGAUAAUAAAAUCAACCUAAUGUAUA
rnacentral:lncRNA from 1 species